rnacentral:siRNA from 1 species
ACCAACACGAUUGUAAAAAACCGC